rnacentral:rRNA from 1 species
CAAACGACUCUCGGCAACGGAUAUCUCGGCUCUCGCAUUGAUGAAGAACGUAGCGAAAUGCGAUACUUGGUGUGAAUUGCAGAAUCCCGUGAAUCAUCGAGUCUUUGAACGCAAGUUGCGCCCGAAGCCAUUAGGCCGAGGGCACGUCUGCCUGGGCGUCACGC